GAUGAACGCUGGCGGCGUGCCUAAUACAUGCAAGUCGAGCGAACGGACGAGAAGCUUGCUUCUCUGAUGUUAGCGGCGGACGGGUGAGUAACACGUGGAUAACCUACCUAUAAGACUGGGAUAACUUCGGGAAACCGGAGCUAAUACCGGAUAAUAUUUUGAACCGCAUGGUUCAAAAGUGAAAGACGGUCUUGCUGUCACUUAUAGAUGGAUCCGCGCGGCAUUAGCUAGUUGGUAAGGUAACGGCUUACCAAGGCAACGAUGCAUAGCCGACCUGAGAGGGUGAUCGGCCACACUGGAACUGAGACACGGUCCAGACUCCUACGGGAGGCAGUAGUAGGGAAUCUUCCGCAAUGGGCGAAAGCCUGACGGAGCAACGCCGCGUGAGUGAUGAAGGUCUUCGGAUCGUAAAACUCUGUUAUUAGGGAAGAACAAAUGUGUAAGUAACUGUGCACAUCUUGACGGUACCUAAUCAGAAAGCCACGGCUAACUACGUG
rnacentral:rRNA from 1 species